UACGUAGGUGGCAAGCGUUAUCCGGAAUUAUUGGGCGUAAAGCGCGCGCAGGUGGUUUCUUAAGUCUGAUGUGAAAGCCCACGGCUCAACCGUGGAGGGUCAUUGGAAACUGGGAGACUUGAGUGCAGAAGAGGAAAGUGGAAUUCCAUGUGUAGCGGUGAAAUUCGUAGAGAUAUGGAGGAACACCAGUGGCGAAGGCGGCUUCCUGGAUCACCCCUGACGCUGAGACGCGAAAGCGUGGGGAGCGAACGGG
rnacentral:rRNA from 1 species